CCUACGGGAGGCAGCAGUGAGGAAUAUUGGUCAAUGGACGAGAGUCUGAACCAGCCAAGUAGCGUGCAGGAUGACGGCCCUAUGGGUUAGUAAACUGCUUUUAUAAGGGAAUAAAGUGAGAGUCGUGACUCUUUUGCAUGUACCUUAUGAAUAAGGACCGGCUAAUUCCGUGC
rnacentral:rRNA from 1 species